rnacentral:tRNA from 1 species
GCCCAGCUAGCUAAGUGAGUAGAGCAUGAGACUCUUAAUCUCAGAGUCAUGGUUUCAUGCCUCAUGUUGGGUG